GGGGUCACUCUUCCUUCUGGGAAGGAAGAUAGCUGAUCCUCCUCUGGGUUAAGAGAUGCAGAAAAGGCUUGGCUUGUAGCUGUGGCCUCCCAAACGUGGAAGAAGACUAUGAGAAGCCCAAAGUGUUUGCAGAUGGCAGCCCAGGGCCAGGUGGAGGGGGCUGCACUGGGGGUGAUGAAGAACACCUCCCUGUUAAGCAGAGUGGCAGCUGGUGCAGAACAGGUGUGGCAGGUGUGGCACACACACAGGGGCAGAGCUGCAGUGUAACACACUAAGCCACAUGGCUCUGUUGGACAGCAGGAGCAGGAAAAUUAAAUGGCUUGGGGAGUACCCCACUGGAAAUGUCAUAUGAGUGAUUACCUGUGCACCUAAAAGGAGAAUAUCCUAAUAUAAAAUGUGGUAUGUAUCAACCUCAACUUAAAAUGCUUCCUAGCUAUGGGAUCUCAAAAAAUCGCCACAAACUCAAGCCUUGAGUUUAAUUUCAUUUAGAAAUUAAAAUUUUGAUUUUUUUUUUCUUACACUGGGCUGGGUUUGAAAAGAAACUAGAAAAAGGAACUACCACAAAAGAACUUGCAGAAGACCCCAACAUUUCUCCUUAUUUUAUAUUUUACUUCAAUGGAACUUUAAGUGUAAGAAGACUGGCCUGGUCCAGAUUUGAUCAUUCUUUUCCAAAGCCUGGGAGACUUGCAGGAGUGCCUGUGCUUUACAUUCUGCUUCAUGGGAAUGUUAUUUUGAUUUUUAUUUUACUAGUAUUUAAAAGCACUCACUAGAAGUUCCUGCAGCUGUAUGGCCACAUAAUAACAGACAGCCUCUAAUUCCUCAUGCACGGCACUCAGCAUGGUAUAAUCAGAAAAAAGGCCCCAAAUCUGUUCCUGCAUUCUAAUAAGUGUGUGUGCCACUUUGCAGGAGAUCAGAAUCCUGUCCAAAUUCUGCAAAGUCUAACAGAACAACAGUUGCCAAAUGACAAAACCUAUCAGAAGACACAGAGUAAAAAGGCACAUCUUUGUUUCUGAUCCUCACAGUGCCAGCCAGUACUGGCAAGAGAAGCAUCAAGGUUUCCAAAAUAAAGCCAGUUAACCACGCCUUGUUUUCUGCAGGUAAAAUGCUGGCAUUUUUCAUCUGAGCACAACCUAUAAUGUUCCAGAUUCUGGAUGGGAGGAACAAGACUCUGAUCCACUAUCCACUGGAGUACAAGCUGGUCUUUUGGGAACUGCUAGAAGAUUCCAAACAGAACUGUUUGUGCAGAAUUGGAAUGAACUGCUGUCCAAGACAUGGCUAUUAAUUGGAGCAUUGCUGGUGCUUCAGUAUUAUAAAACAAAUACACUAAAAUAAUUAAUUGAUGUCAUUAAACUGCCGUGGUGUUGAACAUGUAUUGCACUCAAACAUACUGAAUGCUGACAAUUUAUUAUUUCAGCUUUUAUGACAACACCUCUGUGGUAAUAUUUCUGCAAAAUCUGUAAGAUGUAGGAAGGGGAAGUCUGCACACUAUAAAGUGCCACAGAACUGAAGACCUGUCAAAACAA